ACGCCGCAAGAUUGCCCUUUCCGUCAUGACGGCGAGGAGCGGCGGCGUUUACGGAGUGGUUCUGCCCAACGAGUUACCCUUUAUUUGCAAAGGAAAUUUGUGGUUGUAGACGUCAGUCUUGAGCUACCUGCCUGCUUGCUCUUGUCCGACUGUUGCGAGUGUGAGUGUGUGGAGGUGGCCCUAUGGCGGUAGGCCCAGAGUCCACCGCUGUCUAACACACUUCGCAAAAAACGCCACAGGUUGACCUCGUGUCAGGUGAGAUUACCCGCCUAAUUUAAGCAUAUAAUUAAACGGAGGAAAAGAAACCAACAGGGAUUCCCUUAGUAAGUGCGACUGAAUCGGGAAGAGCCCAGCGCAUAACUUUGUGUACCGGGGAAACCUUGUACACGAGGGGUGUUGCGUUUCGGAUGGUCCGGCACACCGACGCGUAAACCGUGUAAGUCCUAUUGGAAUGCUGCCACUACCCAAGGAGGGUGACAGGCCCGUAACGCGGAACCCAUGAGGGGCAUAACUCGACGGUGGGAGGUCCUUUCCGUAGAGUCGGGUUGCUUGGAAGUGCAGCCCAAAGAAGGUGGUAUACUCCAUCUAAGGCUAAAUAAGACCACGAGACCGAUAGCGAACAAGUACCGUGAGGGAAAGUUGAAAAGCACUUUGAGAAGAGAGUUAAAGAGUACGUGAAACCGUUAAGAGCCAAACGGAUGGAACCUUGAAGAUCGAAGGGAGGGAUUCAACUUGCCGGAAAAUCAUGGGCAGUUGCAUUAUAUGUCCGACCCUUGAAUGCUUGGGCGUGUACAUUCUUGCACACUGUCGUCGGCAAGCGAUUUUUUCUCCUUGUAGGGCGCCGCGACCCGUCGCUGGGGACGUCGAAGGCCCGGACGGACUGGUACCCGUGCUUCGAACCAACCCUUCACGGGGUUUGGCGAGGGGUCGGCGAAACCGCCGGUGUCCUGGCUGCCCUGCGACGGUCGUAGAGAUGAGCCCGUCCUUUUUGGGACGACGCUCUCGCGGCGUGUAAAGAUCGGUGAACCAUCCGACCCGUCUUGAAACACGGACCAAGGAGUCUAACAUGUGUGCGAGUCAUUGGGCGAACGAAACCCACAGGCGCAAUGAAAGUAACGGGGGCAGAUCCCUUCGCCGGUUGCCUCUGCCUCGGUGUGCCCGGCUCUGGUACGCCUAGGUGAGCUAUUUUCCCUGGCCUCUGCCUCUGGCGGGAGGUUGGCAGUAGUGCGAAGGCGUGAGAGUAACACUCUCAGCAACCUGUUUACAGGGGGGGCGCAGGCCCGGGACUUGCCAGGACGCCGCCAGGCCGACCGUCGCGAGGUUUUGGAGCUCUGCUCCUGAGCUGGCCGAGCUGGUCGGUCAUCACGCGGGCAGUCGGCAAGUACCAUGAGCAGACAUGUUAGUACCCGAAAGAUGGUGAACUAUGCCUGGCCAGGAUGAAGCCAGAGGAAACUCUGGUGGAAGUCCGACACGAAUCUGACGUGCAAAUCGAUCGUCUGAGUUGGGCAUAGGGGCGAAAGACUAAUCGAACCAUCUAGUAGCUGGUUCCCUCCGAAGUUUCCCUCAGGAAAGCUGGAACUCGCACGAUGAGUUUCAUCCUGUAAAGCGAAUGAUUAGAGGUCUUGGGGACGAAACGUCCUCAACCUAUUCUCAAACUUUAAAUGGGUGAGGUGCCGAGCUUGCUUAAACGCUGAAGCUUCGGCGAAAAAUCAGAGUUCCAAGUGGGCCAAUUUUGGUAAGCAGAACUGGCGCUGUGGGAUGAACCAAACGUCGAGUUAAGGGGCCUAAAUGAAUGCUCAUACAGAUCCCAUGAAAAGGUGUUGGUUGCUCUAGACAGCAGGACGGUGGCCAUGGAAGUUGGAAUCCGCUUAGGAGUGUGUAAUAACUCACCUGCCGAAGCAACUAGCCCUUAAAAUGGUAUGGCGCUCUAGCAUUCUCCCGAUACUCGACCGCCGGGGCAUUAGCGGCCACGCUCCACGGCAGAGCGAGUGUCUCGAGGCCCCGGUGAGUAGGAGGGUCGCGGUGGUGAGCGCUGAAGGGGUCCGGCGUGAGCUGGCCUGGAGCCUCCACUGGUGCGAAUCUUGGUGGUAGUAGCAAAUAUUCCAACCAAGCUGCCCUUGAGGACCGAAGUGGGGAAGGGUUCCAUGUGAACAUCAAUUGGACAUGGGUUAGUCGCUCCUAAGCCCAAGGCUAAGGCCUGAUCCUAUGUUAGCGGCCAGAGCCACACAGUUCGUGUUCCUGCCUAUGCCGCCAGUCGGCCCCAGCCUCCCGUUGAAGUCUCGGAUUUUUUGCAGAUGAGGCUUCAACGAUGGCUGGGUUUGACUUGGUUUGGUUUGGCGGGCAUCAGCGGCCUGGUGGAAGGGGUUGCCUGGGGUUAGUGGCGAAAGGGAAUACGGUUAAUAUUCCGUAACCUGGACUCGGAUACAAAAAACAAGGCGUCAGCAAUAGCUUUCUGCCCUGUUUGAGGACCCUGGUAACGGGAACCAUCUCGCGCCCACCG
rnacentral:rRNA from 1 species